rnacentral:tRNA from 1 species
UUAGCUCAGCUGGGAGAGCAUCUGCCUUACAAGCAGGGGGUCAUAGGUUCGAGCCCUAUAGGCCCCA